ensembl:lncRNA
CCAAGUUUAUUAAAAAAUACACCAUGGGAAAAAACAGAGACCUGGUGGAGUUCUCGCUGUGUUCACGUGCUGAGUGACUGAGAGGCGCACAGCCUCACAUGCAUGCACACGUGAUGUGUUCAUUCAGGGAGGGAGGGCUUUGUCCUCCUUGCCUAGGCUCAACCCAAGAGCUAGGAGAAAAAUAACAGCAGGCAUGGGAGGUGGGGCAUCCAGAGCAGUGAGGCAUAGCCUGCUACACUCUCUUUAUGCAGGUGUCACUGGGCAGGGAUCUGAGGAGGCGCUGGGCCAGGGCUUCCAGAGCAGAGGGAACUGCAGGCUCCUGAGGCUAGAGGCCAGGAGGUCAGCAGGGAGGCAGGAGGAAGGGAAGGAAGGGGAGGAGUGGGAGGAGGUGGGGCCACAGACACCCUUGGGGCCAGCAGUGUCGGCCUUCAGAGGCCCUGGAAGGACCUUGGCUUCCCCCCAGGCAGUGGAGUCCAAUGCAUUCUGCCUUCAGUCUUCCAUGACCUUUAUCUCAGCUCCUCCUCAGCACGUGACAGGAGGCUCCCUAGGGGCACACCGCGUGCCUGUGCCUCCCCGCGCCAAAGCUGGACUCCAUGAGUCCACAGCACCAUUCUGCUCAGUAGGUUGUGCAAACAGGAGAAUGACGCAAGCCGACCUCACCGGCGUCUUCUGUCCUGGGCCAAGUCCGCUUGCUGGCACCUCUGCAGCCUGCGUGCAGCAUUCCGCAGGGCUCCUUCUGACUGACUGCUCGUAUUCCACGCUUCUCCUCAUCCUGCCAAACAGGGAAGCUGCACAGCCCUGCCCCAGUACAGACCCCAGAGACUGUCGAGGAGAAUGCAGAGGCUUCACCAAGCAUUGCCUCAGGACCCCUGAGCCCCGACACACAAGAGACAUCUACCUGGUCCAGUCUCCCAGAGCAGUCCACAGACCGUGA